rnacentral:rRNA from 2 species
UACAGAGGUGGCAAGCGUUGUUCGGAAUUACUGGGCGUAAAGGGCGCGUAGGCGGCCCGUCAAGUCCCGUGUGAAAGCCCCCGGCUCAACCGGGGAACUGCACGGGAAACUAGCAGGCUUGAGUUCGGGAGAGGGAAGCGGAAUUUCGGGUGUAGCGGUGAAAUGCGCAGAUAUCCGAAGGAACACCGGUGGCGAAGGCGGCUUCCUGGACCGACACUGACGCUGAGGCGCGAAAGCUAGGGGAGCAAACGGG